UGAAACUGGUUUAUGUGCACUGAACUUUUGUUCUGUUACAGUUUUAAACCAGUUUUUGAUCACUUACAUUGGUUUAUGUCUAACUUCUGUUGGCAGCCAA